rnacentral:tRNA from 2 species
UCCUGAUUAGCUUAGUUGGUAGAUCGCUCCACUGGAAAUGGAGAAGUCCCUAGUUCGAUUCCAGAAGCGGGCG